rnacentral:rRNA from 1 species
AUUGAACGCUGGCGGAAUGCUUUACACAUGCAAGUCGAACGGUAGAGGGGGCAACCCCUCGAGAGUGGCGAACGGGUGAGUAAUAUAUCGGAACGUGCCCAGUCGUGGGGGAUAACGUAGCGAAAGUUACGCUAAUACCGCAUACGAUCUAAGGAUGAAAGCGGGGGAUCGCAAGACAUCGCGCGAGUGGAGCGGCCGUUAUCAGAUUAGCUAGUUGGUGGGGUAAAGGCCUACCAAGGCGACGAGCAGUAGCUGGUCUGAGAGGACGAUCAGCCACACUGGGACUGAGACACGGCCCAGACUCCUACGGGAGGCAGCAGUGGGGAAUUUUGGACAAUGGGCGAAAGCCUGAUCCAGCAAUGCCGCGUGUGUGAAGAAGGCCUUCGGGUUGUAAAGCACUUUUGUCCGGAAAGAAAUGGCUCUGGUUAAUACCUGGGGUCGAUGACGGUACCGGAAGAAUAAGGAUCGGCUAACUACGUGCCAGCCGCCGCGGUAA